rnacentral:rRNA from 1 species
CGCGGCCGCAGAAGUUUGAUCAUGGCUCAGAUUGAACGCUGGCGGCAUGCCUUACACAUGCAAGUCGAACGGUAACAGGUCUUUCGGGAUGCUGACGAGUGGCGAACGGGUGAGUAAUACAUCGGAACGUGCCUGGUAGUGGGGGAUAACUACUCGAAAGAGUGGCUAAUACCGCAUGAGAUCUAAGGAUGAAAGCAGGGGACCUUAGGGCCUUGUGCUACUAGAGCGGCCGAUGGCAGAUUAGGUAGUUGGUGGGAUAAAAGCUUACCAAGCCUACGAUCUGUAGCUGGUCUGAGAGGACGAUCAGCCACACUGGGACUGAGACACGGCCCAGACUCCUACGGGAGGCAGCAGUGGGGAAUUUUGGACAAUGGGCGCAAGCCUGAUCCAGCAAUGCCGCGUGCAGGAUGAAGGCCUUCGGGUUGUAAACUGCUUUUGUACGGAACGAAAAGUCUUGGGUUAAUACCCUGGGAUCAUGACGGUACCGUAAGAAUAAGCACCGGCUAACUACGUGCCAGCAGCCGCGGUAAUACGUAGGGUGCAAGCGUUAAUCGGAAUUACUGGGCGUAAAGCGUGCGCAGGCGGUUUUGUAAGACAGUGGUGAAAUCCCCGGGCUCAACCUGGGAACUGCCAUUGUGACUGCAAGGCUGGAGUGCGGCAGAGGGGGGAUGGAAUUUCCGCGUGUAGCAGUGAAAUGCGUAGAUAUGCGGAGGAACAUCGAUGGGCGAAAGGCAAUCUCCUGGGCCUGCACUGACGCUCAUGCACGAAAGCGUG